AGCGAACGCUGGCGGCAGGCUUAACACAUGCAAGUCGAGCGGGCGUAGCAAUACGCCAGCGGCAGACGGGUGAGUAACGCGUGGGAACAUACCUUUUGGUUCGGAACAACACAGGGAAACUUGUGCUAAUACCGGAUAAGCCCUUACGGGGAAAGAUUUAUCGCCGAAAGAUUGGCCCGCGUCUGAUUAGCUAGUUGGUGAGGUAAUGGCUCACCAAGGCGACGAUCAGUAGCGGUCUGAGAGGAUGAUCAGCCACAUUGGGACUGAGACACGGCCCAAACUCCUACGGGAGGCAGCAGUGGGGAAUAUUGGACAAUGGGCGCAAGCCUGAUCCAGCCAUGCCGCGUGAGUGAUGAAGGCCCUAGGGUUGUAAAGCUCUUUUGUGCGGGAAGAUAAUGACGGUACCGCAAGAAUAAGCCCCGGCUAACUUCGUGCCAGCCGCCGCCGUAAC
rnacentral:rRNA from 1 species